AAAGGUUCUCGGGUGCAGCACCCCAGAAUCGGGCUCCCUCCUCUCUGAUUCUAAGUGUGUCACCCAAGAACCACA
rfam:Myotis davidii contig228806, whole genome shotgun sequence.